ACAAAGGUCCUUUUAAGGACCAUCAAUAUUUUCAAAAAGAUCCAU
rnacentral:ncRNA from 1 species